UGGGGAAUCUUGCGCAAUGGGCGAAAGCCUGACGCAGCGACGCCGCGUGAGCGAUGAAGCCCUUCGGGGUGUAAAGCUCUUUCGGCAGGGAAGAUUAUGACGGUACCUGCAGAAGCAGCUGCGGCUAACUACGUGCCAGCAGCCGCGGUAAUACGUAGGCAGCAAGCGUUGUUCGGAGUUACUGGGCGUAAAGGGUGUGUAGGCGGCCCCCUAAGUUUGGUGUGAAAUCUCCCGGCUUAACCGGGAGGGUGCGCCGAAGACUGGAGGGCUAGAGUGCGGGAUGGGAGAGUGGAAUUCCUGGUGUAGCGGUGAAAUGCGUAGAUAUCAGGAGGAACACCUGUGGUGUAGACGGCUCUCUGGACCGCAACUGACGCUGAGACACGAAAGCGUGGGUAGCAAACAG
rnacentral:rRNA from 1 species